rnacentral:rRNA from 1 species
UACGGAGGGUGCAAGCGUUAUCCGGAUUCACUGGGUUUAAAGGGUGCGUAGGCGGGCAGGGAAGUCCGUGGUGAAAGCCUGGGGCUUAACCCCAGAAGGGCCACAGAUACUCUCUGUCUUGAAUGUUGUGGAGGUGAGCGGAAUAUGUCAUGUAGCGGUGAAAUGCUUAGAGAUGACAUAGAACACCAAUUGCGAAGGCAGCUCACUACGCAACCAUUGACGCUGAGGCACGAAAGCGUGGGGAUCAAACAGG